rnacentral:rRNA from 1 species
GAUGAACGCUGGCGGCGUGCCUAAUACAUGCAAGUCGAGCGAACAGACGAGGAGCUUGCUCCUCUGACGUUAGCGGCGGACGGGUGAGUAACACGUGGAUAACCUACCUAUAAGACUGGGAUAACUUCGGGAAACCGGUGCUAAUAACGGAUAAUAUAUUGAACCGCAUGGUUCAAUAGUGAAAGACGGUUUUGCUGUCUCUUAUAGAUGGAUCCGCGCCGCAUUAGCUAGUUGGUAAGGUAACGGCUUACCAAGGCAACGAUGCGUAGCCGACCUGAGAGGGUGAUCGGCCACACUGGAACUGAGACACGGUCCAGACUCCUACGGGAGGCAGCAGUAGGGAAUCUUCCGCAAUGGGCGAAAGCCUGACGGAGCAACGCCGCGUGGGUGAUGAAGGUCUUCGGAUCGUAAAACUCUGUUAUUAGGGAAGAACAAAUGUGUAAUUAACUAUGCACGUCUUGACGGUACCUAAUCAGAAAGCCACGGCUAACUACGUG